UGGGGAAUAUUGCACAAUGGGCGCAAGCCUGAUGCAGCCAUGCCGCGUGUAUGAAGAAGGCCUUCGGGUUGUAAAGUACUUUCAGCGGGGAGGAAGGGAGUAAAGUUAAUACCUUUGCUCAUUGACGUUACCCGCAGAAGAAGCACCGGCUAACUCCGUGCCAGCAGCCGCGGUAAUACGGAGGGUGCAAGCGUUAAUCGGAAUUACUGGGCGUAAAGCGCACGCAGGCGGUUUGUUAAGUCAGAUGUGAAAUCCCCGGGCUCAACCGGGGAACUGCAUCUGAUACUGGCAAGCUUGAGUCUCGUAGAGGGGGGUAGAAUUCCAGGUGUAGCGGUGAAAUGCGUAGAGAUCUGGGGGAAUACCGGUGGCGAAGGCGGCCCCCUGGGCGAAGACUGACGCUCAGGUGCGAAAGCGUGGGGAGCAAACAGG
rnacentral:rRNA from 1 species